rnacentral:rRNA from 1 species
AUGCAGGCGAAUGGCUCGGGCAGGACACAUGGCUCAUGGCGGCGGCGUCUCUCCUCGGGAGGAGCUUGGGCGUUGAGGUCGAGGUGUGCGCUGCCCCUAGGACGGAGUCCACCGACCUGUGCUGGUCAUGGUCCACCACCACCAUGCCUUCAAUCCGACCUCCACCACUCCAGCAAGCAGGAGCAUCACAAUUGCUGCGGUUUGUAUGCUAAGAUGAACUUGAGUGAUGAGGUUGAUUUGGAAGAUCAUGUCUCCAGAUAG